ACUCCUACGGGAGGCAGCAGUGGGGAAUAUUGCACAAUGGGGAAACCCUGAUGCAGCCAUGCCGCGUGUGUGAAGAAGGCCUUCGGUUGUAAAGCACUUUCAGUAGGGAGGAAGGUAGUGUAGUUAACACCUGCACUAUUUGACGUUACCUACAGAAGAAGCACCGGCUAACUCCGUGCCAGCAGCCGCGGUAAUACGGAGGGGUGCGAGCGUUAAUCGGAAUUACUGGGCGUAAAGCGCAUGCAGGCGGCCUGUUAAGUCAGAUGUGAAAGCCCGGGGGCUUAACCUCGGAAUUGCAUUUGAAACUGGCAGGCUAGAGUCUUGUAGAGGGGGGUAGAAUUUCAGGUGUAGCGGUGAAAUGCGUAGAGAUCUGAAGGAAUACCAGUGGCGAAGGCGGCCCCCUGGACAAAGACUGACGCUCAGAUGCGAAAGCGUGGGGAGCAAACAGGAUUAGAUACCCUGGUAGCACAGAG
rnacentral:rRNA from 1 species